AUGAACGCUGGCGGCGUGCCUAAUACAUGCAAGUCGAGCGAACAGACGAGGAGCUUGCUCCUCUGACGUUAGCGGCGGACGGGUGAGUAACACGUGGAUAACCUACCUAUAAGACUGGGAUAACUUCGGGAAACCGGAGCUAAUACCGGAUAAUAUAUUGAACCGCAUGGUUCAAUAGUGAAAGACGGUUUUGCUGUCACUUAUAGAUGGAUCCGCGCCGCAUUAGCUAGUUGGUAAGGUAACGGCUUACCAAGGCGACGAUGCGUAGCCGACCUGAGAGGGUGAUCGGCCACACUGGAACUGAGACACGGUCCAGACUCCUACGGGAGGCAGAAGUAGGGAAUCUUCCGCAAUGGGCGAAAGCCUGACGGAGCAACGCCGCGUGAGUGAUGAAGGUCUUCGGAUCGUAAAACUCUGUUAUUAGGGAAGAACAAAUGUGUAAGUAACUAUGCACGUCUUGACGGUACCUAAUCAGAAAGCCACGGCUAACUACGUG
rnacentral:rRNA from 1 species